ACUUCUCCUAGAGGCAUUGCAGGUGUGGUUGCUGUGUCAUGGUUGUGUUAUUAGGUGGCAGCAAAAAGAGAGGCUAUGUCUACACUCAGUGUUCUGACCCGUGAACUUUUGAAUGAUUAACAGUCUGUCACU